rnacentral:rRNA from 1 species
CAGGCUUAACACAUGCAAGUCGAGGGGCAGCAUUUCAGUUUGCUUGCAAACUGGAGAUGGCGACCGGCGCACGGGUGAGUAACACGUAUCCAACCUGCCGAUAACUCGGGGAUAGCCUUUCGAAAGAAAGAUUAAUACCCGAUGGUAUAAUCAGACCGCAUGGUCUUGUUAUUAAAGAAUUUCGGUUAUCGAUGGGGAUGCGUUCCAUUAGGCAGUUGGUGAGGUAACGGCUCACCAAACCUUCGAUGGAUAGGGGUUCUGAGAGGAAGGUCCCCCACAUUGGAACUGAGACACGGUCCAAACUCCUACGGGAGGCAGCAGUGAGGGAUAUUGGUCAAUGGGCGCAGGCCUGAACCAGCCAAGUAGCGUGAAGGAUGACUGCCCUAUGGGUUGUAAACUUCUUUUAUAUGGGAAUAAAGUUUUCCACGUGUGGAAUUUUGUAUGUACCAUAUGAAUAAGGAUCGGCUAACUCCGUGCCAGCAGCCGCGGUAAUACGGAGGAUCCGAGCGUUAUCCGGAUUUAUUGGGUUUAAAGGGAGCGUAGGUGGACAGUUAAGUCAGUUGUGAAAGUUUGCGGCUCAACCGUAAAAUUGCAGUUGAUACUGGCUGUCUUGAGUACAGUAGAGGUGGGCGGAAUUCGUGGUGUAGCGGUGAAAUGCUUAGAUAUCACGAAGAACUCCGAUUGCGAAGGCAGCUCACUGGACUGCAACUGACACUGAUGCUCGAAAGUGUGGGUAUCAAACAGGAUUAGAUACCCUGGUAGUCCACACAGUAAACGAUGAAUACUCGCUGUUUGCGAUAUACAGUAAGCGGCCAAGCGAAAGCAUUAAGUAUUCCACCUGGGGAGUACGCCGGCAACGGUGAAACUCAAAGGAAUUGACGGGGGCCCGCACAAGCGGAGGAACAUGUGGUUUAAUUCGAUGAUACGCGAGGAACCUUACCCGGGCUUAAAUUGCAUUUGAAUAUAUUGGAAACAGUAUAGCCGUAAGGCAAAUGUGAAGGUGCUGCAUGGUUGUCGUCAGCUCGUGCCGUGAGGUGUCGGCUUAAGUGCCAUAACGAGCGCAACCCUUAUCUUUAGUUACUAACAGGUCAUGCUGAGGACUCUAGAGAGACUGCCGUCGUAAGAUGUGAGGAAGGUGGGGAUGACGUCAAAUCAGCACGGCCCUUACGUCCGGGGCUACACACGUGUUACAAUGGGGGGUACAGAAGGCAGCUACCUGGUGACAGGAUGCUAAUCCCAAAAGCCUCUCUCAGUUCGGAUCGAAGUCUGCAACCCGACUUCGUGAAGCUGGAUUCGCUAGUAAUCGCGCAUCAGCCAUGGCGCGGUGAAUACGUUCCCGGGCCUUGUACACACCGCCCGUCAAGCCAUGAAAGCCGGGGGUACCUGAAGUACGUAACCGCAAGGAGCGUCCUAGGGUAAAACUGGUAAUUGGGGCUAAG